UACAGAGGUCCCAAGCGUUGUUCGGAUUCACUGGGCGUAAAGGGUGCGUAGGCGGUCGGGUAAGUCUGAUGUGAAAUCUCACAGCUUAACUGUGAAACUGCAUUGGAUACUAUCCGGCUCGAGGAAUGGAGGGGAGACUGGAAUACUUGGUGUAGCAGUGAAAUGCGUAAAUAUCAAGUGGAACACCAGUGGCGAAGGCGAGUCUCUGGACAUUUCCUGACGCUGAGGCACGAAAGCCAGGGGAGCAAACGGG
rnacentral:rRNA from 1 species